rnacentral:rRNA from 1 species
GAUGAACGCUGGCGGCGUGCCUAAUACAUGCAAGUCGAGCGAACAGACGAGGAGCUUGCUCCUCUAACGUUAGCGGCGGACGGGUGAGUAACACGUGGAUAACCUACCUAUAAGACUGGGAUAACUUCGGGAAACCGGAGCUAAUACCGGAUAAUAUAUUGAACCGCAUGGUUCAAUAGUUAAAGACGGUUUUGCUGUCACUUAUAGAUGGAUCCGCGCCGCAUUAGCUAGUUGGUAAGGUAACAGCUUACCAAGGCAACGAUGCGUAGCCGACCUGAGAGGGUGAUCGGCCACACUGGAACUGAGACACGGUCCAGACUCCUACGGGAGGCAGCAGUAGGGAAUCUUCCGCAAUGGGCGAAAGCCUGACGGAGCAACGCCGCGUGAGUGAUGAAGGUCUUCGGAUCGUAAAACUCUGUUAUUAGGGAAGAACAAAUGUGUAAGUAACUAUGCACGUCUUGACGGUACCUAAUCAGAAAGCCACGGCUAACUACGUG